rnacentral:rRNA from 1 species
GACAGAGGGGGCAAGCGUUGCUCGGAAUUACUGGGCGUAAAGGGCGCGUAGGCGGGAUGGCAAGUCGGUCGUGAAAUCCCUCGGCUCAACCGAGGAACGUCGAUCGAUACUGCUGUUCUUGAGGAUUGCAGAGGAGACUGGAAUUCCCGGUGUAGCGGUGAAAUGUGUAGAGAUCGGGAGGAACACCGGUGGCGAAGGCGGGUCUCUGGGCCGGUACUGACACUGAGGAGCGAAAGCGUGGGUAGCAAACAGG